AUGUAUAGGGGUGUGGGUGGUAACGCGGGGAAGUGAAACAUCUUAGUACCCGUAGGAAGAGAAAACAAGUGUGAUUCCGUGAGUAGUGGCGAGCGAAAGCGGAGGAGGCUAAACCGUGUGUGUGUUCAAGCCGGCAGGUGUUGCAUGUGCGGGGUUGUGGGGGCCUUGUGGUUCUGCUGCCGCAGGAUUGGCCAGUGAGAAAUGUUGCGUGAAGGUGAAGCGUCUGGGAAGGCGUACCGGAGUGGGUGAGAGUCCUGUAACUGUAAGCGUGGCACUGGUGUGGGGUUGCCCCGAGUAGCGUGGGACUCGUGGAAUCUCGCGUGAAUCUGGCGGGACCACCCGUCAAGCCUAAAUACUCCUUGGUGACCGAUAGUGGAUGAGUAC
rnacentral:rRNA from 1 species